GGAAAGGCCCAGCUUGCUGGGUACUCGAGUGGCGAACGGGUGAGUAACACGUGGGUGAUCUGCCCCUGACUUUGGGAUAAGCCUGGGAAACUGGGUCUAAUACCGAAUAUUCAUUUUUCCUCGCAUGGGGAUUGGUGGAAAGCUUUUGCGGUUGGGGAUGGGCCCGCGGCCUAUCAGCUUGUUGGUGGGGUAAUGGCCUACCAAGGCGACGACGGGUAGCCGACCUGAGAGGGUGAUCGGCCACACUGGGACUGAGACACGGCCCAGACUCCUACGGGAGGCAGCAGUGGGGAAUAUUGCACAAUGGGCGCAAGCCUGAUGCAGCGACGCCGCGUGAGGGAUGACGGCCUUCGGGUUGUAAACCUCUUUCAGCUCCGACGAAGCGCAAGUGACGGUAGGAGCAGAAGAAGCACCGGCCAACUACGUGCCAGCAGCCGCGGUAAUACGUAGGGUGCAAGCGUUGUCCGGAAUUACUGGGCGUAAAGAGCUCGUAGGCGGUUUGUCGCGUCGUCUGUGAAAUUCUGCAGCUUAACUGCAGGCGUGCAGGCGAUACGGGCAGACUUGAGUACUACAGGGGAGACUGGAAUUCCUGGUGUAGCGGUGAAAUGCGCAGAUAUCAGGAGGAACACCGGUGGCGAAGGCGGGUCUCUGGGUAGUAACUGACGCUGAGGAGCGAAAGCGUGGGUAGCGAACAGGAUUAGAUACCCUGGUAGUCCACGCCGUAAACGGUGGGUACUAGGUGUGGGUUU
rnacentral:rRNA from 1 species